UGGUGGGUAGUUUGACUGGGGCGGUCUCCUCCUAAAGAGUAACGGAGGAGCACGAAGGUUGGCUAAUCCUGGUCGGACAUCAGGAGGUUAGUGCAAUGGCAUAAGCCAGCUUGACUGCGAGCGUGACGGCGCGAGCAGGUGCGAAAGCAGGUCAUAGUGAUCCGGUGGUUCUGAAUGGAAGGGCCAUCGCUCAACGGAUAAAAGGUACUCCGGGGAUAACAGGCUGAUACCGCCCAAGAGUUCAUAUCGACGGCGGUGUUUGGCACCUCGAUGUCGGCUCAUCACAUCCUGGGGCUGAAGUAGGUCCCAAGGGUAUGGCUGUUCGCCAUUUAAAGUGGUACGCGAGCUGGGUUUAGAACGUCGUGAGACAGUUCGGUCCCUAUCUGCCGUGGGC
rnacentral:rRNA from 1 species